GUAGGUGGCAAGCGUUGUCCGGAAUUAUUGGGCGUAAAGCGCGCGCAGGCGGUUCUUUAAGUCUGAUGUGAAAGCCCACGGCUCAACCGUGGAGGGUCAUUGGAAACUGGAGAACUUGAGUACAGAAGAGGAAAGCGGAAUUCCACGUGUAGCGGUGAAAUGCGUAGAGAUGUGGAGGAACAUCAGUGGCGAAGGCGGCUUUCUGGUCUGUAACUGACGCUGAGGCGCGAAAGCGUGGGGAGCAAACAGGAUUAGAUACCCUGGUAGUCCACGCCGUAAACGAUGAGUGCUAAGUGUUAGGGGGUUUUCCGCCCCCCUUAGUGCUGCAGCUAACGCAUUAAGCACUCCGCCCUGGGAGUACGGCCGCAAGGCUG
rnacentral:rRNA from 1 species